rnacentral:rRNA from 1 species
GCAUAUCAAUAAGCGGAGGAAAAGAAACCAACUGGGAUUACCUUAGUAACGGCGAGUGAAGCGGUAAAAGCUCAAAUUUGAAAUCUGGUACUUUCAGUGCCCGAGUUGUAAUUUGUAGAAUUUGUCUUUGAUUAGGUCCUUGUCUAUGUUCCUUGGAACAGGACGUCAUAGAGGGUGAGAAUCCCGUUUGGCGAGGAUACCUUUUCUCUGUAAGACUUUUUCGAAGAGUCGAGUUGUUUGGGAAUGCAGCUCAAAGUGGGUGGUAAAUUCCAUCUAAAGCUAAAUAUUGGCGAGAGACCGAUAGCGAACAAGUACAGUGAUGGAAAGAUGAAAAGAACUUUGAAAAGAGAGUGAAAAAGUACGUGAAAUUGUUGAAAGGGAAGGGCAUUUGAUCAGACAUGGUGUUUUUUUAAUGUGCAAGUCUCUCGUGGACAUGUGCCUCUGGAAAUUAACACUGGGCCAACAUCAGUUCUGGCGGCAGGAUAAAUCAUUAAGAAUGUAGCUACCUCGGUAGUGUUAUAGCUUUUUGGAAUACUGCCAGCUGGGAUUGAGGACUGCGCUUCGGCAAGGAUGUUGGCA